rnacentral:rRNA from 1 species
GGUGUUCGGGUUGUCAUGCCAAUGGCACUGCCCGGUAGCUAAAUGCGGAAGAGAUAAGUGCUGAAAGCAUCUAAGCACGAAACUUGCCCCGAGAUGAGUUCUCCCUGAGACCUUGAGUCUCCUGAAGGAACGUUGAAGACGACGACGUUGAUAGGUCGGGUGUGUAAGCGCAGCGAUGCGUUGAGCUAACCGAUACUAAUGAACCGUGAGGCUUAACCUU